rnacentral:rRNA from 1 species
UACGGGGGGGGCAAGCGUUGUUCGGAAUUACUGGGCGUAAAGGGCUUGUAGGCGGCCAACUAAGUCAGACGUGAAAUCCCUCGGCUUAACCGGGGAACUGCGUCUGAUACUGGAUGGCUUGAGAUUGGGAGAGGGAUGCGGAAUUCCAGGUGUAGCGGUGAAAUGCGUAGAUAUCAGGAGGAACACCGAUGGCGAAGGCAGGUCUCUGGGCCACUACUGACGCUGAGAAGCGAAAGCAUGGGGAGCGAACAGG